rnacentral:rRNA from 1 species
AUUGAACGCUGGCGGCAUGCUUUACACAUGCAAGUCGAACGGCAGCACGGGCUUCGGCCUGGUGGCGAGUGGCGAACGGGUGAGUAAUGCAUCGGAACGUGCCCAUUUGUGGGGGAUAACGCGGCGAAAGUCGCGCUAAUACCGCAUACGCCCUGAGGGGGAAAGCGGGGGAUUCUUCGGAACCUCGCGCAAUUGGAGCGGCCGAUGUCAGAUUAGCUAGUUGGUAGGGUAAAGGCCUACCAAGGCGACGAUCUGUAGCGGGUCUGAGAGGAUGAUCCGCCACACUGGGACUGAGACACGGCCCAGACUCCUACGGGAGGCAGCAGUGGGGAAUAUUGGACAAUGGGCGAAAGCCUGAUCCAGCAAUGCCGCGUGUGUGAAGAAGGCCUGAGGGUUGUAAAGCACUUUCAAUCGUGAAGAAAAGUUGCAGGCUAAUACCCUGUGACCUUGACGUUAAC